AGACUGGGACAAUUCCUGUUUACGGAAGACUAUAAAACCCUGCCCCCUACUCAUUUGGUGCUGACGCCAUUUUAGGCCUUAGCCUGCCUGCACCCAGGCGCUCAUUAAAACAGCAGGUUGCUCCACACUGCCUCGUGUUGUCUGUUGGCACACUCUCAAGAGUUUGAACGGAUACAAGAAUCUUUCAUCUGGUGCCGAAACCCGGGAGGGGCUCCGGUCUUCGUCCCCCGUGGACCUACCCCUCCGCCCCAGAAAGCAGGCCACAGCAGCCGGACAAAGGAAGCUCCUCAGCCUCCAGUUGCUUCUCUGUGCAUGCACAUCAGUCACUGAUCUCACCUACUGGCCCAGUCCCAAGGCGCAAGGCCACUUGUGCCAGCAGUGUGAGUCAGCAAGAUAGCAGAAGCAGGAAGAGAGCCGGCCAGAAGACACCUACUCUGACUGGGAGACACGUACCCCUGAAGAUUGAGAAAGAGGCCAUCCAGGAUGCCAGAAGAAAUGGGAAGACAUUAAGGUUUAUGUGCUAAUAUUUGAGUCCUUUCAUGGCAUUUACAUGGCAGAGCCAAAAGCAGAAGUUGACAACCAUCAGAAGCCAAACCAGCCCCACAAAAUACCUAGCCUUCAAGAGAGAAAUUGGACCAAUCUAUGAAAAAUGUUGCUGGGAGUGAAGAUGGAAUGAGAAGAACAGAGAAACAAUGACAGAGUCCUUACAAACACCAUGAUACAAGAAGGCAAUGGGGAUAUGUUAUCCUAAAGGAAUCCUAAAAGAAGUGAUCAAAAAGGUGAACAGAAAACCAAGUGGGAGUACUGUCACUGAGGAUGAGUUUCCAGAGAGAAUUAAUGCUGAAGAAGCUAUUGCAGACACUGCUGAGUAUGAAGAACUAAUUGGAGAAGGAAGCCGUUGUAUAGCAGAUGCAGAGCAGCAGCAAAAAUGGUAAUGAAAAUAGAAGAUAAAUUAGAAAAUUUGGAAAAACCCAAACAGAUCAGCCAUAUUGAAGGGAAAAAGAAAAACAAAACAAAGUGGGAGGGCAGAAAUGUAGAACGGUAUACACUCUUUUAACCCCAAGGAUGAAUGUAGCCAAGAACACAGUGGGGACUUAGGAGUCUCAGCACAGAGCAUUCUCUACUCCCUACUGCUCAGGCAAAGAACUCCUUCAUCAUGCAGAACCAAAACUGGUGUAGAGUCUUAAAUGACCUGGGUAUCUCUACGCAGAAGAAAGCGCUUUCCAUGUAAAAGGAUUAACUUGAACCUGGGUGCUCAAGGGACACCCUAGGCUGCUUAUCCCACUGAUUCUGAUCUGACUGUGUUAAGUAAUAAAUCAUGUGGUUACAUAUUCACA
rnacentral:lncRNA from 1 species